rnacentral:misc_RNA from 1 species
GCAAAUCUUCCAAGGUGAAGCCUGAAGGACAGAGUAUAAAUAUCAGCUGGAAAAGGAAACUUUAAAACCCCAUCAACUUCAAACCACCAUAUUUGCUGCAAAUAGGCCACAACAUGGAAUCUAGAUUCUUCAGUGGGAACCCAAUUCCAAUAUCUCCGGUCCUCAAUCCCCGUUAUCGCCAUUCCUUUGGCCGAUAUCGACAUACAAACCCUUCCCGUCGUUCUAUCCAACCAUACCUCCUUAUUGCCAUCGUCAAAUGGAACGGGACGCGAGAGUUGGGCGAAGAUAUCCUUCUUGGACAAGCUCUGGUACCGUUCGGCAGGGAACAAAUCGAGCAGAUCUUGAUAAUUAGGCGGCAACUUCUUCUCCCAAACGGAAUCAGAUGAUGCGGCGCCUCUAAAAGCACGGUUCAGUCGAGCAAGAUUACAAAUCUCUGGUGGCGUCAAGUAGGUAAACACGCACGCCACACAACUUUCCGGUAUAUCUCCGAGACCCGGACCCAUGGUGGCUCCCUCCGUUAGGUUAGAUAGCGACGCACCCAUGGUCGGCUCCCCCUUUCCUGCGGCUUCACUGAAUAUAAUAGUAUAGUCGUAUUAGUUAAAUCUAGGAAAUUGCGUGAAUGCCUGUGUUGUCAGUGUGUGUUAAGGUCAUCUGAGGAGUGUUUGGCAGACGAGAAAGUGGAGAAGUAGAAGAAGAGAGAAGCAUGUAUUUGCGUGUUUCAUUUUAUAUUC